rnacentral:SRP_RNA from 1 species
GCUGGGAGUGGUGGUGUACUCCUGUAAUCCAACUACUAGGAGGCCUGGUAUAGAGGAUGUUUUGAGGGCGGGGGUCCUGGGGUUGGAUGCCUCACGUAGACUAGGCGUCCGCACUAAGAUCGGCAUCAACAUGGGUACCUUGGGGGAGCCCGAGGUAGCCAGGUUGGCUAAGGAGGGGCGAAUCGGGCCAGGGGGGAAACUCAGCAGCCAAAAGUCCCCGUGUUGGUCAGUAGUGGGAUAGCGCCCGGGAGUGGGAAUCCAGUUUCAGCCCGUCCAAUAAAAACAGACCUGUAUCUUU